GAACUGGUCAGUAACAGGUGAGUUGAUACCAAAUGAUUCACUUGCCUCUCAGCAGGUAGUUGGUAGGAUAAUAGCUUACCAAGCCAAUGACGAGUAGGGAGAGUGAAAGCUUGAAUCUCGACACUGGAAAUGAAAAAGUCCAGAGCAUAGAUUAUGUGCAGCAGUGGAGAAUAUUGGUCAAUGCACGAAAGUGUGAACCAGUAACUUAGAGUUAAAAGUCAUUUUCUGAUAUCAGAAGAUUUACUUUUGAAUAAGUAUAAUAAAUGAUGAUUAUUAUACCGAAUAGUCCAGUCUAAUCUCC
rnacentral:rRNA from 1 species